rnacentral:misc_RNA from 1 species
GAUGAAGAACGUAGCGAAAUGCGAUAAGUAAUGUGAAUUGCAGAAUUCAGUGAAUCAUCGAAUCUUUGAACGCACAUUGCGCCCGCCAGUAUUCUGGCGGGCAUGCCUGUUCGAGCGUCAUUUCAACCAUCAAGCCCCCGGCUUGUGUUGGGGACCUGCGGCUGCCGCAGGGCCUGAAAAGCAGUGGCGGGCUCGCUGUCACACCGAGCGUAGUAGCAUACAUCUCGCUCUGGGCGUGCUGCGGGUUCCGGCCGUUAAACCACCUUCAUAACCCAAGGUUGACCUCGGAUCAGGUAGGAAGACCCGCUGAACUUAAGCAUAUCAAUAAGCGGAGGA